AGUGAACGCUGGCGGCGUGCCUAAUACAUGCAAGUCGAACGAAGUGGCCCACGGGUGAGUAAUAUAUAGUUAAUCUGCCCUACACCGAGGAACAACAGUUGGAAACGACUGCUAAUACCUCAUAGUGCAGGAUGAGACUAUAUCGUAUCAGCUAGUUGGUAAGGUAAUGGCUUACCAAGUCUAUGACGCGUAACUGGUCUGAGAGGAUGAUCAGCCAAAUUGUAAUGGAGACACGGUCCAAACGCCUACUGGAGGCAGCAGUAAGGAAUAUUACGCAAUGGGGGACACCCUGAUUAAUCAACGCCGCGUGGAGGAUGACACUUUUGGGAGCGUACAAUCCUUUUAUCAGGAAAGCGGGACCUGAUGAUUAAGCACCGGCUAACUCCGUGCGAGCAGGCGCGGUAAUAC
rnacentral:rRNA from 1 species